rnacentral:rRNA from 1 species
CCUACGGGGGGCAGCAGUGGGGGAUAUUGCACAAUGGGGGAAACCCUGAUGCAGCGACGCCGCGUGAGUGAAGAAGUAUUUCGGUAUGUAAAGCUCUAUCGGCAGGGAAGAAAAAAAUGACAGUACCUGACUAAGAAGCCACGGCUAACUACGUGCCAGCAGCCGCGGUAAUACGUAGGUGGCGAGCGUUGUCCGGAAUUACUGGGUGUAAAGGGAGUGUAGGCGGGGAAGCAAGUCAGAAGUGAAAACUAUGGGCUUAACCCAUAGCCUGCUUUUGAAACUGGUUUUCUUUAGUGAAGUAGAGG